UCGGAGAGCCCCUACACACGG
rnacentral:siRNA from 1 species